GUAAAAAUUGGGAGCAAAACUGAGUAGUGCCAGGCCCUCCUGAAGGCCUAGGGGACAUAGUGGUAAAUAAGAUAGAAAAAAAAUCCUGUUCUUAUGGAGUUUACAAAUCGAGGAAAGGUGAUGAAAAUAAGACAAGACUGAUUCCUCAUUAUAGUUUUCUCUGUUGAACUAAAAUGCGGAGAAUAAAGCAGAAAGUAUGAAUAUGGAGGACACAUGAACUUGCAGUUGAAGAUGCAGUUCCUGGGUUCAACUCUGUUGCUUGGACAGCUAUGUCAUCUUAGCGCAUCCUACACCUGCUGAGCCAUUCAGGAAAAGAAACCACUUUCAUCUCAUGGAAUGACCAACCCCUGUGAUGGGCCUGGGCCAAGCCCUGUUGCCCAUCUCUCAGUGAGCCCCUUGGCCAUCCUACUGAGGACAAGCCACUGAAGGAAUUCCCUCCAGCCUGCUGCAUGCUGCUCGCUGGCCUUCUGCCAGCAGAUACUCUCCGGGGAAGCUGCUUCCACUUUCCUACUGCCUUUGGCUUUAGCCUUUUCCAGACUUGAUAACUAGACAUUGACUAUGUCCUGUGCCUUUGAUCCUGCUCAGCUCUGUUCCUCCCCACCCUGCCAGGGAUACAACCUGCAGAACUCUGGGGUGGACAACUCCAUUCAAGAAGAUGCAGCAUGGCAAGAAGCAAGAUUCUUUUUUUGGUCACUCAUUACCUGAAUUCCUUCACUCUCUACUUCAGUGUUGACUGACUUUACAAAGGCUACUGAAGUUGGCAUUUUUGCUUAUUUUACUGAUGUCCAUCAGAUGCAUGUAGGUACCCAGGAUCAUCAUCGUAGCAGCCCAUCUCAAAGGGCCUAUGUUGUUAAUUAUCAAUUAGCAAAGGCUCAUUUGCAUAUUUUGUGUACUACUUAUGUAAUAUUUAAUUAUCUUUUUAAAAAAUAUAUUUUAUUUAUUUAUUCAUGAGAGAGGCAGAGAACACAGAGA